UACGAAGGGUGCAAGCGUUACUCGGAAUUACUGGGCGUAAAGGGUGCGUAGGCGGUUGUUUAAGUCUGUCGUGAAAUCCCCGGGCUCAACCUGGGAAUGGCGAUGGAUACUGGGCAGCUAGAGUGUGUCAGAGGAUGGUGGAAUUCCCGGUGUAGCGGUGAAAUGCGUAGAGAUCGGGAGGAACACCAGUGGCGAAGGCGGCCUUCUGGACCAAUACUGACGCUCAUGCACGAAAGCGUGGGGAGUAAACAGG
rnacentral:rRNA from 1 species